rnacentral:rRNA from 1 species
CCUACGAGUGGCAGCAGUGGGGAAUAUUGGACAAUGGGGGGAACCCUGAUCCAGCGACGCCGCGUGAGUGAAGAAGUAUUUCGGUUUGUAAAGCUCUAUCAGCAGGGCAGAAAAUGACGGUACCUGACUAAGAAGCCCCGGCUAACUACGUGCCAGCAGCCGCGGGAAUACGUAGGGGGCAAGCGUUAUCCGGAAUUACUGGGUGUAAAGGUAGCGGAGACUGUGCAGCAAGUCUGAUGUGAAAUGUCGGGGCCCAACCCCGGGACUGCAUUGGACACUGUUGAACUGGAGUACAGGAGAGGUAAGCGGAAUUCCUAGUGUAGCGGUGAAAUGCGUAGAUAUUAGGAGGAACACCAGUGGCGAAGGCGGCUUACUGGACUGUAACUGACGUUGAGGCUCGAAAGCGUGGGGAGCAAACAGGAUUAGAGACCCCGGUAGUC